UGGAGAGUUUGAUCCUGGCUCAGAUUGAACGCUGGCGGCAGGCCUAACACAUGCAAGUCGAACGGUAACAGGAAGCAGCUUGCUGCUUYGCUGACGAGUGGCGGACGGGUGAGUAAUGUCUGGGAAACUGCCUGAUGGAGGGGGAUAACUACUGGAAACGGUAGCUAAUACCGCAUAACGUCGCAAGACCAAAGAGGGGGACCUUCGGGCCUCUUGCCAUCGGAUGUGCCCAGAUGGGAUUAGCUAGUAGGUGGGGUAACGGCUCACCUAGGCGACGAUCCCUAGCUGGUCUGAGAGGAUGACCAGCCACACUGGAACUGAGACACGGUCCAGACUCCUACGGGAGGCAGCAGUGGGGAAUAUUGCACAAUGGGCGCAAGCCUGAUGCAGCCAUGCCGCGUGUAUGAAGAAGGCCUUCGGGUUGUAAAGUACUUUCAGCGGGGAGGAAGGUGWURAGGUUAAUAACCUCAKCRAUUGACGUUACCCGCAGAAGAAGCACCGGCUAACUCCGUGCCAGCAGCCGCGGUA
rnacentral:rRNA from 1 species